UUUACUGAAAAAAAGCUUAUUGCUAUAUUUGGAAUUUUCUUUCUUCUCGUUUCAUGAAGGCGUCAGGAUUGUGCCCUUCGCAUCAAAGAUUGAUGCACAUUCCUUUGCACCCAUCGUGAUGCGGAGGGAAGCGUGGGAUAAAGAUUCAGCCACAGCUGAACCUGCAACAGGCCUCAAACAGAGGUUCUGCAAAUUCCCGAAACAGAGUUUUUUUUCCUUUCUAUUGACAGCUCAAAAAACAAAGAACGUGAAGAAGGCCUAAGGUCUUUAACAAUGCCCUAUAUGGGCUACACAACCCUAACCCUUUUAACCCAAACGAAACAAAGCAACCCCACUUCAAUGGGAUUCAACCAAAAUUCAGAAAUAAAAAACAGACUCCUACUCCAACCGGGAUUCAACCAAAAUUCAGAAAUAAAAGUAAACCAAACCCGACCCAACUUAAAACCAAUUCUAAACCAACAAGGACUCCUAAUCCCGACUUAAUUCAAAACCAAAACAUGACUUAAUUCAGCAACAAAACAAGGACUCUUGACUGGACUCAAACAAAACAUAAUUUCAGAUUCAGAAGGACUCUUCCUUAGCAUCGGCAUCAUCCACAGCUGGGUUUCAACCACGAUCAAACUCCACGAGCAGCGNNN
rnacentral:lncRNA from 1 species